rnacentral:lncRNA from 1 species
CGAGAAAACAGGGACAAUACGGAAUUUAAGCAUUCUGACUGAUUCAAAAGAGAGGGCCAAUACGGAGAAGUCACUUUCGUUAGAAUUUUAAAUGACGCCAUUUUGUUUUACAUAAAAAAUAUAUAUUACAAUAGUUUUCACAUUUUUUGGAAAAAAAAUAAUAUCUAACAUGUUCAUGUGAUAACUAAGUAAGACUGAGUGGACGUACGAUGUCGAUACAUACGUUUUUUGUAGAUUAUAACGAUACUUUCGGCUUAUUCGUUAUUGUGUACAAACAAGUUCCUGUCAGAACGAAUCGGAAAUAUACAUUGAGAAAAUAUGCGAAACUCAUAUUACUUGAAAGGAUGAUACUUAUUUAGCUAGUGUGGAUUAUUUGUGCAAUAAUAAUAGCGAUUCACAUGCAGAGAAGUGGAUGAAUAAUAUUCGUUGCGAACUCGAAUGUCAGUUGUAAACUGCAAUCAAUUUCGGAUAAGAAUAAAACGAGGCAUGGGGGUGUAUAAUACGUGAUUGAUUGGUUGUAUUAUCUUGAUCAACACAUAUGUGUACAAUUUUGUGUCUCAUUGAUUGCAGUCAACAAAGAAAUAAAGCAGUUUUUAUCAAAGCUCAAAUGGUAAGAUACUCACUAGAGAAAAUAAAUACGAUGUGUGGUUACAGACUUUUUUGUGAGGUUUUGAAAGUCAAGUAGGCGACUGUAGUCCGAGAAACUCUGAACUCCUUAGUGUCUGGUAAUUUGAAUGUCAAAUAGAUUUAACUGUUAACUGCCUUUUUGGAGAUGAGUGGCUCUGGUGUUUGCUGUUCUCUAUGCUUCCAAGAAACCCACCCUUUACUUUCGGUUAAGGAAAGAAAUCACAGAUCACUGGUUUAGCAGUUUUGGUAGUACAGUAAUUGGGAUAGAAAAUAAGAACAAUUUAAAAACUCCAUUUACAAUCAUGAAAUACUUCACCAUGUUGUAGUUCUGUUGUUGUAAGACAAUAUUGAUGAUCCAAAUAAACAUCCUAAUGAGU